AACGAACGCUGGCGGCGCGCCUAAUACAUGCAAGUCGAGCGAGAAGACGUAGCAAUACGUUUGUAAAGCGGCGAACGGGUGAGGAAUACAUCGGGUAACCUACCCUCGAGUGGGGAAUAACUAGCCGAAGGUUAGCUAAUACCGCGUACGCUCCUUGGACUUCGGUUCAGGGAGGAAAGCGAUACCCGUGGGUACCGCGCUCUUGGAUGGGGCU
rnacentral:rRNA from 1 species